UGAUCUGCCUGUUCUUUCAUGAUGACCAAGAGCCCAGAGGCCUGAGCCUGAGGUAGGGAAGGGGUGUGUGUGUGUGUGUGUGUGUGUGUGUGUGUGUGUGUCAUGUGGUGUGUGAGAGAGAGGAGGCAGGGAAGGAGGAGAGAGAUUGUGGAAUGCAAGGGAGAAAUCAUGCAGUUACUUUUAGUUGUUUACUGAGCAAGGGCAAAAUCUAAACCGCGCUUGCCACAAUCAAUGAAAGGAUCGCCUCAGCUUCCAGAGUUGAGCUCCCUAAAUGAGUCUGGCAUUCUGAUAACUGCAGAGCCUGCUUGCUGCCUCCUACUUUCCAGCACUGGCUAGCUGGCCCUGGAAGCAUCAGUGGGGAGAAAAGCGUGGUCCAGGACUGAAUGAACUUCUGCCCAACUUCGAGGGACCAUGGCCACAUAAGAAUUCUGACUGUUACCCCAGAAGACAGCAUGAGAAUCCAGCCUGAUCCCAGACAUCACCCAUCCUCGUCUCUUCUAGGACAGUCCACGGGGUUUGUGCCAUCCUUCCAGGGGGUACCAAAGCCUGGCUCUUCUGAGAUCUUCCAGUUUCUUUCCAGCCUCCCCCUAACACUUCAGAUGUCCCUACUCAUUUUCCAGAUUCUGGAGUUCUGGUGAAGGCCGGCCUCCUAAUUCAUUGAAAUAGGAAUUGUCUGUGCCCCAGAGUCCUGGGAAGCCAGAAUAAGUUGAGGGAAUAUGAGUUGAAAGACUCCAGCUCAAAGCUGCGCUGUGAAAUUGGAGCAAGUUACCUAACUUCUCUCAGCCCCAAGACCAUUACCUGUAAAUUAUGAUUUCCACCAGCAGGAAGUGGGGAAGCUUAAAAGAGAUCCUGUUCAGGAAGAUACCUUGCAUGGUUCCUGGCACCUAGGAGAACCCCACUCAAUUGUGAUUGGAUUGACUAGAGUUUCCAUUCAAAAUAAGAGAGGGCAGGACGUGGAUGGGAGCAUGAAGGCCACUGAAAACACUAAAAUGGUAAAACAAAGUUUCUGCCUAUAAAUUGACUAACUUUUCUGAAGGAAAAGUCUCUCUUUUCUAGAGAGGAUUUUCUCAACUAGCAGGGGAUAGAUUUGUUGAAGUUACAACUUCUUUCUGUGUGUGAACUGCCCCAAUUAAUGUAGCUCAGAAUCACAGAACAAAUGAAAAAUAUAUAGUGAAAUUGAUCUCCUUUAUUUGAAACUUAAAAUGGGUUUGUGGAGGUAAAGCAGGCAAAAAGCUUGAUCAGAGCUUUAUAUUUUAUACUGAAGGGUGCACAUGUUGAUAUCUUGACUUUUUUGCUAAAGAUGCUUCUGAUUUCCAUAUGAAGCUCUCUAUAACCCAGCUCCUGCCCUGGAACCUCACCCUAUUCCUUCACUGAAAACGUCAUCUAAUCAUCAUCUGUCCUUUUCGAUUAUCCAGCUAUCUACCUCAGGCCUUAGUGCCUUCCAAGCCCUCUCCUCCAAAUACUUCCAAAGAUUGUUUUAUGUUUUCAAAUAAAGCACUUUUAACAUUCAUGAAUUCAAGUUAGGAAUUAUAUAUAUGCUUUCCUUUCAG
rnacentral:lncRNA from 1 species